GAACAAUUACCCAAUUUUACUCGUUUCAAAACCCUAGGUUAUAGAUCUUGAUGAAAUCACUGAAUAACUGUCAUGAAUCUUGCAGAUUCUGCAAUGUGAGGCAUCAAAAUUAGCCCAUCCAAGUAACAAUGGCGAUCAACAAAGGAAAUCUCCAGGUACACAUGAAUUUUUUAAUUAAGGGCCACGAGAAUCAAAUUAAUAGUUGAAUAAGUACUUAUUUGGGAAAACCGGAAUAUGCUAUGAUAUACAUCACCUGCCAGACUGCCACUGCCAGCCACCAGUCCACCACCAAGCCAAAGCCACUUAGCCACCCAACUACCAUUUGUCACCCAUGAACGCAGCAGUUGUCUACCAUUAAAACAUGGAGAUACAUGGAGACCACCGCAUCACCCCGGCCGUCGCCUUACCUCACCUGAAAUCAAUAUUCUUCAUUGAAGCGCACUUCUUGUUUUAUAUUGAGGAGCCACUUUCUGAUAAUUUUUAUUCUCCAUUGAAGAAGCUUCUAAGUUCUAAGUGAGGAGUUAAUUUCUUCUCUUGAUUUUGUUUGGUGCUCCACUUGGGUUAACUCCUCUUCUAGCAGCAGUUUAUGUGGGUGUCUUGCAAAAUAUAUUCAGCUAGAGUGUGAAGUACUAUUUGUUUGACCUUUGCAAAGAAAUGGCUUACAUUCCAUUGGACGAGGACACUAAGGUUUCAUCUAAUUAAUCUCAAAUUUAUACCAUCUUUGUCUUUUGGUUCUUCAGAUUUCCCUUUUUUUUGUUCUAUUUGUUCAAAACGACAGUCGAGACUACAGAGAGAUAGUUCUUCAUCUGAAUUCAGUCCACAAAUAAAGGAACAACAUAAUGCCUAUUUUGGAAAAGGUGUACCACUUUGUAAUUUUUUUGGGUAUUUAGUUUACAUUUAAUUGAGCUAUGGAUGGUAGUUUAGCUGCUGGCCAAAGUCACUAUCGGGUUUUCUAUGAUUAUAUUUUAAUUCAUUAUCAUAUUAUGUUUGCUGUAUGUAUGUGCUCAUGAAAUAACUAAAUAACUUUUGAUACUAUUUUUCUUGCAUGUAAUCACGAAUGGGUGGCUUCUUAUUUACAUUCCAUUUCAACUCAAUUCUUGAUGGUUGAAGCCAAUAACAUCUCUACUCCAAAUGGCGUUUAGAACCUAUGUUAUAUAUUUUUUUUACCUAUUGUUGAACCUAGCUUUAAAGUUGUGCUCCAAGGAAAUCCCUAGACAAGCUCCAAAUAUGCCUUGAAAGUGUUGACAUGGCAGGGUGUCCUGAAGUUGAAAAUUUUGAUGGGAGGCAUUCCAAACGGAGGGAUGAGAGACAUAUAGAAGUGUCUCACAUGGGCAUGUUGGUCAUUUUAUGUGGGAUUUAAAUUUGCCUUUGUAGAUUCAGUGGUACAAAAUACAUUCUCAGUGGUACAAAAUAAAAUUUCAAUGGUGUAUCAAAAAUGGUUCAAAUGUCUCAUUAGACUGUUAAAUAAUACCAUUAGAGAUUCACUGGUACAAAAUACAUUCUCAGUGAUACACAAUACAAUUUCAGUGGUACCUACAAAAAUGUUCAAUGGUACAAAAUAUGAUCUCAAUAGUUGUGGUCCCAAUUGUUUUUUGUUUUUUUUUGCACGUGAAACCUUUUUGAUAAAAAGGUGGGCUCCCUUCCACCCCUUUUUUCACUCUCUAUAUCUCUCUCUUCCUUUUUCACUCUUUCUAGUACAUUUGUUAUAAUUUUUUAUGUUACGAGACAAUUUAUUUUGUCACACAACACUACAUUUAUACUUCCUCCUCAUUUUUUGUAUGUGGUUGCUAGUUCUGUCCCAUUUGAUCUG